GAAGGAAUCCAACCCAGAGAGUAUCGUCCCCUCCCCCUCGGAGGACUUAAGGCUGCCUCAGCCUUCCCGAUGGAAGCGGGGGACGACCGUGCACGUGAGCAUCACGCGUGCGUCACAGGGUGGCGCGCACGACCGCAGAUGUCAGCCAGCCGGCGUUACCGUAUGUGUUCGACACUGUGAGCACUCACAAUAUGGGACCGCUCUCCUGGUUCUCUUGUUAAGACAUCCUCUUGAGUGGCCCAGAGAGAAGAGGUGACGGCUUUCAGGAUACUGUCAGGAACUCCGCUAAAAGCAGCUUCGGACAAAUUGCUUAUUCUCUAGGCCUCAGACCGCUGGAACACAUGCAGAAAAGAAAUCUCUGAAGAGAGAAGAAUGUUUUUAAGCCACUCUUGAGAAUUCUAAGAUCCCGGACCCUGGAUCUCUAUCUAGUGCGGCUUCAUCGGAACCUAGAAAAUAAACUUCAUUGUCUUCCAUGGCAAAUGCCUUUGCAUUCUAGCAGCGUCUAUAGUCGCCCCCACGUUUGAGGCCCCCAAACGCAUACUCUUCAGAAGCACAUUCCAUCUUAAGAGGCAUCCAGAAAGGCCAAGAAGGGAACCUGCCAAAAUCCAGUCUCAGGAGCUCUCCCUGGGUGAGAACCAAGACACUGAGCGUUCUGGAGCCUGUCGGUAGGUGGCAUUCUUGCUCCUCAGCGGCAGGGUGUCCCCGAGGAAUCCCGGCGGCGUGGCAGCCCCCAUCCCCCACCUGGAACA